UUUUUUUGAGACAGGGUCUUGUUCUGCUGUCCAGGCUGGAGUACAGUGGCACAAUAAUGGCUCACUGCAGCCUUGAUCUCCUGGGCUCAAGUGAUCCUCCUGCCUCAGCCUCCUGAAGUAUCCAAGACUACAGGAACCAAAGAAAGAUCUUGCAUUUUCUAAUCAAUUCUGAGCCCACAGUACAACUCAUCUUUGGAAAUCACUGCUCCAGAAUCCAAAGCAUGGUGCUCAGGAACUCCAGGUACAACGCUGAAUAAAGGUGGUGAGAAUAGACAUCCUUGCCUUG